rnacentral:rRNA from 2 species
CCGUGAUCCGGGUUGCGGACAGUGUCUGGUGGGUAGUUUGACUGGGGCGGUCUCCUCCUAAAGAGUAACGGAGGAGCACGAAGGUUGGCUAAUCCUGGUCGGACAUCAGGAGGUUAGUGCAAUGGCAUAAGCCAGCUUGACUGCGAGCGUGACGGCGCGAGCAGGUGCGAAAGCAGGUCAUAGUGAUCCGGUGGUUCUGAAUGGAAGGGCCAUCGCUCAACGGAUAAAAGGUACUCCGGGGAUAACAGGCUGAUACCGCCCAAGAGUUCAUAUCGACGGCGGUGUUUGGCACCUCGAUGUCGGCUCAUCACAUCCUGGGGCUGAAGUAGGUCCCAAGGGUAUGGCUGUUCGCCAUUUAAAGUGGUACGCGAGCUGGGUUUAGAACGUCGUGAGACAGUUCGGUCCCUAUCUGCCGUGGGCGCUGGAGAACUGAGGGGGGCUGCUCCUAGUACGAGAGGACCGGAGUGGACGCAUCACUGGUGUUCGGGUUGUCAUGCCAAUGGCACUGCCCGGUAGCUAAAUGCGGAAGAGAUAAGUGCUGAAAGCAUCUAAGCACGAAACUUGCCCCGAGAUGAGUUCUCCCUGAGACUUAGAGUCUCCUGAAGGAACGUUGAAGACGACGACGUUGAUAGGCCGGGUGUGUAAGCGCAGCGAUGCGUUGAGCUAACCGGUACUAAUGAACCGUGAGGCUUAACCUUACAACGCCGAAG